rnacentral:rRNA from 1 species
CCUACGGGAGGCAGCAGUGAGGAAUAUUGGUCAAUGGCCGUAAGGCUGAACCAGCCAAGUCGCGUGAAGGAAGAAGGAUCUAUGGUUUGUAAACUUCUUUUAUAGGGGAAUAAAGGUAUGCAUGCGUGGAUAUUUGCAUGUACCAUAUGAAUAAGCAUCGGCUAACUCCGUGCCAGCAGCCGCGGUAAUACGGAGGAUGCGAGCGUUAUCCGGAUUUAUUGGGUUUAAAGGGAGCGUAGGUGGUUUUUUAAGUCAGCGGUGAAAGUUUGUGGCUCAACCAUAAAAUUGCCGUUGAAACUGGCAGACUUGAGUGUGUUUGAGGUAGGCGGAAUGCGUGGUGUAGCGGUGAAAUGCUUAGAUAUCACGCAGAACUCCGAUUGCGAAGGCAGCUUACUAAGCCAUAACUGACACUGAAGCACGAAAGCGUGGGGAUCAAACAGGAUUAGAUACCCGAGUAGUC